CUUUUCCAUCGUCCAAUCAGAAUGCAACGUUAGUAAAACGCAGUUAGUUAAACGUUCGAUUUGUGCUCGUCAUUCGAUUUCGAACUUUUCUUGUUGACGUUGUUUUUUCGAACGUGUUUUUUCUGCUCGAUAUUAAAAAUUAAAAAUUAGCUACGAAAUUGAUGAAAAUUGUUUGGACGGGCGAUGAUGCAAUCGACGAAAAAUGAUCAUUUUCUCAAUGGCAUUUAUUCAAGUUUUUUCAUUAUGGUGCUAAUUAGCAUUUCCGGGAUCGAUUGACUUCCAGUAAAUGAUGGAUCAUCACUGAGAAUAUUGGGAUUCAAAUUUUCAAUUUCAUGAAUCAGAUUUGGACAUUAAAUCUUGGAACAUGAAUGGGAUCGUUGGACAUCGAAUAUUCAAUUUGGGAUCGAUUUGGAACUGGACAAGA
rnacentral:lncRNA from 1 species